AUGCUUGCUUUGGCAGCACAUAUACUAUAACUGGAACGAUACAGGGAAGAUUAGCAUGGCCCCUGCAUAAGGAUGACACGCAAAUUUGUGAAGUGUUCCAUAUUUAA
rnacentral:snRNA from 1 species